GGAUGAACGCUAGCGGGAGGCUUAACACAUGCAAGUCGAGGGGCAGCAUUCACUUCGGUGAGAUGGCGACCGGCGCACGGGUGCGUAACGCGUAUGCAACCUACCUUUUACAGAAGGAUAGCCCGAAGAAAUUCGGAUUAAUACUCCAUAAAGCAUUUAUACCGCAUGGUUUAAAUGUUAAACAUUUAUGGGUAAAAGAUGGCUAUGCGUUCUAUUAGCUAGAUGGUAAGGUAACGGCUUACCAUGACAACGAUAGGUAGGGGGUCUGAGAGGAUUAUCCCCCACACUGGUACUGAGACACGGACCAGACUCCUACGGGAGGCAGCAGUGAGGAAUAUUGGUCAAUGGAGGAAACUCUGAACCAGCCAUGCCGCGUGCAGGAAGACUGCCCUAUGGGUUGUAAACUGCUUUUAUAUAGGAAGAAACCCCUCUACGUGUAGAGGCUUGACGGUACUAUAUGAAUAAGGACCGGCUAACUCCGUGCCAGCAGCCGCGUUAAUACGGAGGGUGCAAGCGUUAUCCGGAAUCAUUGGGUUUAAAGGGUCCGUAGGCGGACUAAUAAGUCAGGGGUGAAAUCCAACAGCUUAACUGUUGAACUGCCUUUGAUACUGUUAGUCUUGAAUUAUAUGGAAGUAGAUAGAAUGUGUAGUGUAGCGGUGAAAUGCAUAGAUAUUACACGGAAUACCGAUUGCGAAGGCAGUCUACUACGUAUAUACUGACGCUAAUGGACGAAAGCGUGGGGAGCGAACAGGAUUAGAUACCCUGCUAGUCAACGCCGUAAACGAUGGACACUAGUUGUUGGAUUUAUUUUCAGUGACUAAGCGAAAGUGAUAAGUGUCCCACCUGGGGAGUACGAUCGCAAGAUUGAAACUCAAAGGAAUAGACGGGGACCCGCACAAGUGGUGGAGCAUGUGGUUUAAUUCGAAAAUACGCGAGGAACCUUACCAGGGCUUAAAUGUGGGAUGACAGGGCUAGAGAUAGCUUUUUCUUCGGACUACUUACAAGGUGCUGCAUGGUUGUCGUCAGCUCGUGCCGUGAGGUGUCAGGUUAAGUCCUAUAACGAGCGCAACCCCUAUCGUUAGUUGCUAGCAGGUCAUGCUGAGGACUCUAGCGAGACUGCCGGUGCAAACCGUGAGGAAGGUGGGGAUGACGUCAAAUCAUCACGGCCCUUACGUCCUGGGCCACACACGUGCUACAAUGGUAUGGACAAUGAGCAGCCACUAUGUGAAUAGGAGCGAAUCUAUAAACCAUAUCACAGUUCGGAUCGGAGUCUGCAACUCGACUCCGUGAAGCUGGAAUCGCUAGUAAUCGGAUAUCAGCCAUGAUCCGGUGAAUACGUUCCCGGUCCUUGUACACACCGCCCGUCAAGCCAUGGAAGCUGGGAGUGCCUUAAGUCGGUCACCGCAAGGAGCCGCCUAGGGUAAAA
rnacentral:rRNA from 1 species